ACGAACGCUGGCGGCGUGCUUAACACAUGCAGGUCGAACGUGAAAGUCCUUCGGGAUGAGUAAAGUGGCGCACGGGUGAGUAAUGGAUAGGAACGUGCCCUUUGGAGGGGGAUAACCAUGGGAAACUGUGGCUAAUACCGCGUAAGGUCGAAAGACGAAAGGAGGCCUCUGCUUGCAAGCUUUCACCAAAGGAUCGGCCUAUCUCCCAUUAGCUAGUUGGCGGGGUAAAGGCCCACCAAGGCGACGAUGGGUAGCUGGUCUGAGAGGACGAUCAGCCACACUGGAACUGAGACACGGUCCAGACUCCUACGGGAGGCAGCAGUGGGGAAUCUUGCACAAUGGGCGAAAGCCUGAUGCAGCAACGCCGCGUGAGUGAAGAAGGUCUUUGGAUUGUAAAGCUCUUUAGACUGGGAAGAAGUGACGUAAGGUUAAUACCCUUAUGUUUUGACGGUACCAGUAGAAUAAGCACUGGCUAAUUCCGU
rnacentral:rRNA from 1 species